UGGGAAUCUCUUGGCACCUCACAAUUCGAUUUGAUUCCGAUUAUGAGGUCAACGAUUAGAUUCUGAAGUGAUUAUCAAUGCAACAAUUUUUUUUAUGUACAUUUCCAUGCGUGAUUUUUUAACAUCAACAGAUGAAUUAACUUAUCUAAUAUUUCAUAAGAGAGAAAGCUUUUGUCACAAAUAUGACUUUCUAUGAACAAUGCAAUAAUCAAUGCAGCUUGCAUUAUAACACAAUAUGGAAGCAUGCGAAAAAUAGGUUUCAGUUUUAUUUUCUUUCUAAUCUUUCUUUUCUA